GGUGCCUGCAGGGCUGACGAGAAGCUACUAAAGUUCCUGGGGAAGCAAAGUAGAAUUUCCUAAGAACAUAAUGGAUGGAGAGGAGAAAACCUAUGGUGGCUGUGAAGGCCCUGAUGCCAUGUAUGUCAAAUUGAUAUCUUCUGAUGGUCAUGAAUUUAUUGUAAAAAGAGAACAUACGUUAACAUCAGGAACAAUAAAAGCCAUGUUGAGUGGCCCAGGUCAGUUUGCUGAGAACGAAACCAAUGAGGUCAAUUUUAGAGAGAUCCCUUCACAUGUGCUAUCAAAAGUAUGCAUGUAUUUUACCUACAAGGUUCGCUACACUAACAGCUCCACGGAGAUUCCUGAAUUCCCAAUUGCACCUGAAAUUGCACUGGAACUGCUCAUGGCUGUGAACUUCCUAGAUUGUUAAAUAAAAUAAAUUAUAAUAAACUG